rnacentral:rRNA from 11 species
UCAUUCUACCUAAACACUUUGCAGACACCAGAUCCUGUGUGAUCUUGAAAGCUAAGCAUGUUCAGUCUAGUUAAUACUUGUAUUGGAGACCACCUACAAAUACCAGGUGUUGAAAGCU